UAAACUUCUGUUAAGUGGGGAGAAAUGCUCUGUUUUUAAUACAGCAGAGAGAUGACGGUACCAUUAGAGAAAAGCACCGGCUAACUUCGUGC
rnacentral:rRNA from 1 species